rnacentral:pre_miRNA from 1 species
UAGGAUGACUGGCCAUCCUGGUUUGCCUGGGACUGUGGGGUUGCCUGGGACAGGGGACCAUAAGUGCUAAAGCUAGAUAAGUCCUAGGCAAACCAGGACAGGUUGGUCAUCCUACCUCUCU